CAGCAGAGGCGCGGAGGACGUGGCUGGGUGCCCUGGGCACGAGCAGGACCUGAGGCUGGGGACCAGGGACCCAAAAGAUAACACCAUGCCGCUUUCCUGCUGGGUUGUCCUGGUCUCUUCCUCUUGGGUGGAUGGUCUUCCUCCUGAGCCCAUUCAAGGCAGCCACACCACCGCGUGCACAACAGUGUGGCCAAGCCAUUGGUCUCAGGCGAGCUCUGGGUGACAGCUCAAGUGGGGGGACCUGGAACUCCACCACAGGAGUGGAGAUGGGCAGCCUCCAGGCAAGGAUGAUUUUCUUCCCCAUCAAACGAAUGCUGGGACCAGGAGGCUUGAAAACCAUAGGAUUCUGUCAAAUGCCAGGCCAGAGAAAUCACACCAUGUUUCUGUGGCUGCAAAGGCUCUCCACGGGGCCCGGGGUUCCCGGGAGUGAGCCCUCGGGUGCAGGCCGGGC